UACGUAGGGUGCAAGCGUUGUCCGGAAUUAUUGGGCGUAAAGAGCUCGUAGGCGGUCUGUCGCGUCUGCUGUGAAAACUCAGGGCUUAACCCUGAGCUUGCAGUGGGUACGGGCAGACUAGAGUGCGGUAGGGGGGACUGGAAUUCCUGGUGUAGCGGUGAAAUGCGCAGAUAUCAGGAGGAACACCGGUGGCGAAGGCGGGUCUCUGGGCCGAUACUGACGCUGAGGAGCGAAAGCGUGGGGAGCAAACAGG
rnacentral:rRNA from 1 species